rnacentral:tRNA from 1 species
UCGUGUGUGGCUCAGACGGUAAAGCAUCUGCCUACUAUGCAGGAGACCCGGGUUCAAUCCCUGGGUCAGGAA